rnacentral:rRNA from 1 species
GAUGAACGCUGGCGGCGUGCCUAAUACAUGCAAGUCGAGCGAACGGACGAGAAGCUUGCUUCUCUGAUGUUAGCGGCGGACGGGUGAGUAACACGUGGAUAACCUACCUAUAAGACUGGGAUAACUUCGGGAAACCGGAGCUAAUACCGGAUAAUAUUUUGAACCGCAUGGUUCAAAAGUGAAAGACGGUCUUGCUGUCACUUAUAGAUGGAUCCGCGCUGCAUUAGCUAGUUGGUAAGGUAACGGCUUACCAAGGCAACGAUGCAUAGCCGACCUGAGAGGGUGAUCGGCCACACUGGAACUGAGACACGGUCCAGACUCCUACGGGAGGCAGCAGUAGGGAAUCUUCCGCAAAGGGCGAAAACCUGACGGAGCAACGCCGCGUGAGUGAUGAAGGUCUUCGGAUCGUAAAACUCUGUUAUUAGGGAAGAACAUAUGUGUAAGUAACUGUGCACAUCUUGACGGUACCUAAUCAGAAAGCCACGGCUAACUACGUG